GACGAACGCUGGCGGCGUGCUUAACACAUGCAAGUCGAACGAAGAGCGACGGAAGCUUGCUUCUAUCACUCUUAGUGGCGAGCGGGUGAGUAACGCGUAAUCAACCUUCCCUUCAGAGGGGGACAACAGUUGGAAACGACUGCUAAUACCGCAAACGACCUAAUCUCGGCAUCGAGGAUGAAUGUAAGGUGGCUUCUACAUGUAAGCUCUCACUGCAGCAGGGGAUUGCGUCUGAUGAGGAAGUAGGGGGGGUAAGGGCGCACCAAGGUGAUGAUCAGGAGCCGAUCCGGUGGGAUGGAUGGCCAACUUGGGACUGAGACACGGCCCAGAGUCAUACGGGCGAGAGCAAGGGGGAAACGUCCGCAAUGGACGAAAGACUUACGGAACAACGCCGCGGGAGGGAUGACGGCCGUCGGGUUGGAAAGCUCUGUUAGUCGGGACGAAAGGCCUUCUUGCGAAUAGUGAGAGGGAUUGACGGUACCGGAAUAGAAAGCAACGGCUAACUACGUG
rnacentral:rRNA from 1 species